GACGAACGCUGGCGGCGUGCCUAAUACAUGCAAGUAGAACGCUGAAGGGGGAGCUUGCUCUUCUGGAUGAGUUGCGAACGGGUGAGUAACGCGUAGGUAACCUGCCUGGUAGCGGGGGAUAACUAUUGGAAACGAUAGCUAAUACCGCAUAACAGUAGAUGUUGCAUGACAUUUGCUUAAAAGGUGCAAUUGCAUCACUACCAGAUGGACCUGCGUUGUAUUAGCUAGUUGGUGGGGUAACGGCUCACCAAGGCGACGAUACAUAGCCGACCUGAGAGGGUGAUCGGCCACACUGGGACUGAGACACGGCCCAGACUCCUACGGGAGGCAGCAGUAGGGAAUCUUCGGCAAUGGACGGAAGUCUGACCGAGCAACGCCGCGUGAGUGAAGAAGGUUUUCGGAUCGUAAAGCUCUGUUGUAAGAGAAGAACGAGUGUGAGAGUGGAAAGUUCACACUGUGACGGUAUCUUACCAGAAAGGGACGGCUAACUACGU
rnacentral:rRNA from 1 species